rnacentral:rRNA from 1 species
CCACAAAAAUUUCUACAAUAGGAUGCAAAGAUGUAUGUAAGUCAGAGCUAAACCAUGAAAGGAAAUUAAAGUACGGAUAAGAAUCUGGAACUCGAUUCUUUGAAGAAGGAAUUGCUAGUAAUCGUCUAUCAGCAUGAGACGGUGAAACGACCAUCUGUGAUGUACUAACUACUCGUCAAGCGCAAAAAUUUUUAGGAAAUAUCAAGUAUAUACGUCUAUUUCUUAGAGAUUUGUGUUAAG